GACGUAGGGCGCGAGCGUUGUCCGGAUUUAUUGGGCGUAAAGAGCUCGUAGGCGGCUUGUCGCGUCGUCCGUGAAAAUCCGGGGCUCAACCCCGGACUUGCAGUGGGUACGGGCAGACUAGAGUGUGGUAGGGGAGACUGGAAUUCCUGGUGUAGCGGUGAAAUGCGUAGAGAUCAGGAGGAACACCCGUGGCGAAGGCGGCACGCUGGGCCGGCCCUGACGCUGAGGCGCGAAAGCGUGGGGAGCGAACGGG
rnacentral:rRNA from 1 species